GACAGAGGAUGCAAGCGUUAUCCGGAAUGAUUGGGCGUAAAGCGUCUGUAGGUGGCUUUUUAAGUCCGCCGUCAAAUCCCAGGGCUCAACCCUGGACAGGCGGUGGAAACUACCAAGCUGGAGUACGGUAGGGGCAGAGGGAAUUUCCGGUGGAGCGGUGAAAUGCGUAGAGAUCGGGAGGAACACCAGUGGCGAAGGCGGCUACCUGGACCAGCACUGACACUGAGGCACGAAAAGCGUGGGGAGCGAACCGG
rnacentral:rRNA from 1 species